rnacentral:rRNA from 1 species
CGGAGGGGCUAGCGUUGUUCGGAAUUACUGGGCGUAAAGCGCACGUAGGCGGACUGGAAAGUUGGGGUGAAAUCCCGGGGCUCAACCUCGGAACUGCCUUCAAAACUAUCAGUCUGGAGUUCGAGAGAGGUGAGUGGAAUUCCGAGUGUAGAGGUGAAAUUCGUAGAUAUUCGGAGGAACACCAGUGGCGAAGGCGGCUCACUGGCUCGAUACUGACGCUGAGGUGCGAAAGCGUGGGGAGCAAACAGGAUU